ACGAAUUUCGAUUCGGUCUUCUGUGCUGGUGGCAACACAUGUGCACGUUGAUCGUAAUUCCAUUCUCCUUUCAAUCGUCCAAGUGUGUUCGGUCGGCCUUUUGGGUCGAAGAAGCGUGGCCGUCAGGCUCGUUUCGUUCUGAGCGCACAUUGGUUAUUUCACCCACUCUGGGUACUCGAAACAAGGAAAACAAAUCAUAUAAAUUAAA
rnacentral:misc_RNA from 1 species